GACGAACGCUGGCGGCGUGCUUAACACAUGCAAGUCGAGCGGUAAGGCCCUUUCGGGGGUACACGAGCGGCGAACGGGUGAGUAACACGUGGGUGACCUGCCCUCAGCUCUGGGAUAAGCCCGGGAAACUGGGUCUAAUACUGGAUAUGACUCCAUGACGCAUGUUGUGGGGUGGAAAGCCUUGUGCGGCUGAGGAUGGGCCCGCGGCCUAUCAGCUUGUUGGUGGGGGAUGGCCUACCAAGGCGACGACGGUAGCCGGCCUGAGAGGGCGACGGCCACACUGGGACUGAGAUACGGCCCAGACUCCUACGGGAGGCAGCAGUGGGGAAUCUUGCGCAAUGGGCGAAAGCCUGACGCAGCGACGCCGCGUGA
rnacentral:rRNA from 1 species